rnacentral:piRNA from 7 species
CCCCCCACUGCUAAAUUUGACUGGCUA